AAACAACUACGAGUGAAAACUUAAAACUUAAAAGACUUGACGGUACUUCAUAACAACCUAGAGGAGCCUGUCUAAUAACCGAUAACCCACGAUCAACCCAACCACUUCUAGCCAUCCAGUCUAUAUACCGCCGUCACCAGCCCACCUUGUGAAAGAAACAAAGCGAGCUCAACAAUAUAACACUAGUAAGACAGGUCGAGGUGUAACAAAUGAAGUGGACCAAGAUGGGCUACAUUUUCUAACACAGAAAACACGAACAGAAAUAUGAAAAACUCCUAGAAGGCGGAUUUAGCAGUAAGCUAAGAACACCAUACUUAACUGAAACUAACGCAAUGAAGUGCGC
rnacentral:rRNA from 1 species